rnacentral:rRNA from 1 species
GACCCGGACUAUGGCGGGGAGUGGCAGACUGCUCAGUAACACGUAGCUAACCUACCCUCGGGACGGGGAUAACCCCGGGAAACUGGGGCUAAUACCCGAUAGGUAUGGAUUCCUGGAAUGGUGUCAUGCCUAAACGUAAGCACAUCCAUGUUUGUGCGCACGCCCGAGGAUGGGGCUGCGGCCGAUCAGGCAGUUGGUGAGGUAACGGCUCACAAAACCUUUGACCGGUACGGGCCGUGAGAGCGGUAGCCCGGAGAUGGACACUGAGACAAGGGUCCAGGACCUACGGGUCGCAGCCGGUACGAAACCUCCACAAUGCACGAAAGUGCGAUGGGGUUACCUCGAGUGCCGUCUGAAGAAGGCGGCUUUUCCAUUGUGUAAUAAGCCGUGGGAAUAAGGGGGGGGCAAGACUGGUGUCAGCCGCCGCGGUAACACCAGCCCCCCGAGUGGUGGGGAUGUUUAUUUGGCCUAAAGCGUCCGUAGCCAGCUCGGUAAAUCUCUCGUUAAAUCCAGCGUCCUAAGCGUUGGGCUGCGAGAGAGACUGCCAAGCUAGAGGGUGGGAGAGGUCAGCGGUAUUUCUGGGGUAGGGGCGAAAUCCAUUGAUCCCAGGAGGACCACCAGUGGCGAAGGCUGCUGACUAGAACACGCCUGACGGUGAGGGACGAAAGCUGGGGUAGCGAAUCGGAUUAGAUACCCGAGUAGUCCCAGCCGUAAACGAUGCAGGCUAGGUGUUGGGUUGGC